AAUCAGGGAGAAGAAGAAUGAGGUGGAGGGCUUGUGGUCGGGGGGACCUCAGCAAAGGUUGGCUUCUCAAUCUGUGUAACAUUCCUGACCACCUUGCACUGGGGACCAAGUAAGAGUCGCCAAACCACUAAUCUGCCACAUUCUCCUCUGGGAAGAGCUGAGAAGAAGUGAAGAAUCCUGCCAAGCAAGAGCAGUAUGUGCAUAAGAGAACGAGGCCCUAGCCCAACAUGCCCUUCCUCCGACAUCCAUCCAAGGCACACCUCACAGGUCACCUGCCAUGUUCAUUCUGGAGAAAACACAGCUUGGCAAGACCCUGGAUACAAGAGAGUUCCUUCCCGACCCCCAGCUCUGAGAAACAGCUGAGGCCUCUAAGCAUCAUUACCAAGAAUGUCUUCCAUAAGUGGGGCCUCACGGAAGCUGUGAGGAGGAACAACUGGAUAUAUUCUGAGCAUUGAUUCUGGAAGCAUUUGUGCUGGCAAAGUGAGUGAUUGCGGGGCCGUUUUAUUGGACAUGUACUU
rnacentral:lncRNA from 1 species